UUUUAUCACAUCUAGUUUCAUGCAGCAAUCCAAAAAUUGAACCUUAAAAAAGCUAGGAGUCUGUAAUAAAAACAUAUUGAGGGAAAAACCUAGGAGUUAUAGUUACAGUACUAAGUGCUUUUGCAGUAUUAUACCAGUAAAGCAUUCGGAUCCUUUCAUUUUUGUGCUAACAUUCCUCUUUCCGUCACUUGAUCUCUGUUGAAUCUGUGUCCUGGAAACAGUAGCUGUAUUUACUGGCAUCAGCUGUCCUAGCGAGUUCCAGGAAUUUAGAAACAUGCAAGCAGCAUGCAGAAGAAUGAGGAAGUACUCUAUCAAAGGACUUGGUGUCGCAAGUAGACAGUGAAGCAAUAGCUCCCCCUGUGGCCAGAAUCAAGCAUACCCUCAUGAAGCCGGAAAAGCUGGAAUGUUAAAUGCCUCUGUAUCUGCCUAUAAUUGUUGUAUGUCUGGCAUUGAAUGUUUGCCAUGUAUACGUGCAUUGUAAUCCACCCUGAGUUCCCUGCGGGGUGAGAAGGAUGGAAUUUAAAUACUGUAAAUAAAUAAUAAACAAAUAACACUGACUAAAA